rnacentral:rRNA from 1 species
UACGUAGGGUGCAAGCGUUGUCCGGAAUUAUUGGGCGUAAAGAGCUCGUAGGCGGUUUGUUGCGUCUAUCGUGAAAACCUGCAGCUUAACUGUGGGCUUGCGGUGGAUACGGGCAGACUUGAGGUCGGUAGGGGAGUGUGGAAUUCCUGGUGGAGCGGUGAAAUGCGCAGAUAUCAGGAGGAACACCCGUAGCGAAGGCGGCACUCUGGGCCGAUACUGACACUGAGGAGCGAAAGCGUGGGGAGCGAACAGG